rnacentral:rRNA from 1 species
UACGUAGGUGGCAAGCGUUACUCGGAAUCACUAGGCGUAAAGCGCAGGUAGGAGGUUUGAUAAGUCUGUUGUGAAAGCUCCCGGCUUAACUGGGAGAGGUCAACGGAAACUGUCAGGCUAGAGUGCGGUAGAGGUAGCUGGAAUUCCCGGUGUAGCGGUGAAAUGCGUAGAUAUCGUAAGGAAGACCAGUGGCGAAGGCGGGUCUCUGGACAGUUCCUGACGCUGAGGCACGAAGGCCAGGGGAGCAAACGGG